rnacentral:lncRNA from 10 species
ACUGCACUCCUAAGCCUAGCCAGAUGGGCUGCAGAUGUGAGCUCUGGGCUGCAAGGGAGGCUGGGAGAAUGGACAAGACUCAUACCCUUGCAUGGGAUUCUAAGUCCCAAUCCAGGUCCCACAGUACCAUAGGAGCAUCAUGCUGGGAUCUUGUGUCUCUCUCUGAGUUCAAAUUUACAGAGUUUUGGACUCAGGAAGGUGAUGCUGGAGAUAUUGUCAUGCUUCUGCAAUGCUGGUAGCUGUGUCAAAGAACAUCUCCGGCAACAGCCAUCACAUCUUGCAGCCUUCAGGUCAGCUUGGAAAGAAGCCACAGCCUCGUUUCAUUCCUGCAGCCCUAGCAAGCGCUGGAAAGCUAUGAGGUUGCUGAAUGCCUUCUUCCAGCGCAUUUCAGGUCCUCCCUUGCCUCCUCCUUCUUUGGCCUAUUCCAAAGUUCAAGAUCCCUUCCCUCAAUGCUAUAGCUUCAGCAUAGCCAUUGUUGACUUUUAUCUCAAGGGACCAAUUGCCACUGUCAACUCAUUCAGAGUGGAACUGUUUGGAGUUCUGCUUUGGAAAUCAUAAUUCCCUAUCUCCAAGAGAGGCCUCAGGAACUUUACUUCUGGACAUGGUUGAGGAAAGUUUCCUGGCUCGGCCAGACCUGGGUUUUGCCAUCCAUGGCUGUGUGACUUUGCAAAAAUCAUCUCACCUCUCUGAUCUCAGGAUUCUCUUUAGUGGAAAGUGGGGAAUCAUCCCUACCUCGCAGGGCCAUUGGGAGGAUGAAAGAAAACUCAUUGAAAUGCCUGCUAUAGUGCCUAGCAUGGAGUCCGUGUUUCUUUAGGGGUAGCUACUGUUGCUCUGGUUAUUAUUGUCCUUGUUGGUAGGGUACUGCAGAGCAGCAGCCUCUCUUCCUUCCUCAGCCAGAUAGUCAUAUAGUCAGAUGGACCUGCAUUCUACUCUCAGCAUCC